rnacentral:tRNA from 1 species
GGCGCGGUAGCUCAGUUGGUUAGAGCGAACGACUCAUAAUCGUUAGGUCGGGGGUUCAAGUCCCCCCCACGCCACCA